UAACACGUGGAGAACCUGCCCCCUCCCCCGGGAUAGCCGCCCGAAAGGACGGGUAAUACCGGAUACCCCCGGGUGCCGCAUGGCGCCCGGGCUAAAGCCCCGACGGGAGGGGAUGGCUCCGCGGCCCAUCAGGUAGACGGCGGGGUGACGGCCCACCGUGCCGACAACGGGUAGCCGGGUUGAGAGACCGACCGGCCAGAUUGGGACUGAGACACGGCCCAGACUCCUACGGGAGGCAGCGGUGGGGAAUCUUGCGCAAUGGGGGCAACCCUGACGCAGCGACGCCGCGUGCGGGACGGAGGCCUUCGGGUCGUAAACCGCUUUCAGCAGGGAAGAGACGAGACUGUACCUGCAGAAGAAGCCCCGGCUAACUACGUGCCAGCAGCCGCGGUAAUACGUAGGGGGCGAGCGUUAUCCGGAUUCAUUGGGCGUAAAGCGCGCGUAGGCGGCCCGGCAGGCCGGGGGUCGAAGCGGGGGGCUCAACCCCCCGAAGCCCCCGGAACCUCCGCGGCUUGGGUCCGGUAGGGGAGGGUGGAACACCCGGUGUAGCGGUGGAAUGCGCAGAUAUCGGGUGGAACACCGGUGGCGAAGGCGGCCCUCUGGGCCGAGACCGACGCUGAGGCGCGAAAGCUGGGGGAGCGAACAGGAUUAGAUACCCUGGUAGUCCCAGCCGUAAACGAUGGACGCUAGGUGUGGGGGGACGAUCCCCCCGUGCCGCAGCCAACGCAUUAAGCGUCCCGCCUGGGGAGUACGGCCGCAAGGCUAAAACUCAAAGGAAUUGACGGGGGCC
rnacentral:rRNA from 1 species